GACAGCAGUAGCCGCGGGAAUACAGUGGGUGCGAGCGUUAAUCGGAUUUACUGGGCGUAAAGCGUGCGUAGGCGGCUUCUUAAGUCGGAUGUGAAAUCCCUGAGCUUAACUUAGGAAUUGCAUUCGAUACUGGGAAGCUAGAGUAUGGGAGAGGAUGGUAGAAUUCCAGGUGUAGCGGUGAAAUGCGUAGAGAUCUGGAGGAAUACCGAUGGCGAAGGCAGCCAUCUGGCCUAAUACUGACGCUGAGGUACGAAAGCAUGGGGAGCAAACAGGAUUAGAUACCCCAGUAGUCCCUGUCUCUUAUAA
rnacentral:rRNA from 1 species